rnacentral:rRNA from 1 species
AGAGUUUGAUCCUGGCUCGGAAUCAACGCUGGCGGCGUGCCUCAGACAUGCAAGUCGAACGAUUAAGACUCCCUUCGGGGAGUGUAUAAAGUGGCGCACGGGUGAGUAACACGUAAGUAAUCUGCCUUCGAGUGGGGAAUAACCCGGGGAAACCCGAGCUAAUACCGCAUAACGCAGCGGCAUCGCAAGAUGACAGUUGUUAAAGGAGCAAUCCGCUUGAAGAGGAGCUUGCGGCAGAUUAGCUAGUUGGUAAGGUAACGGCUUACCAAGGCUACGAUCUGUAUCCGGUCUAAGAGGACGGUCGGACACACUGACACUGAAUAACGGGUCAGACUCCUACGGGAGGCAGCAGUCGGGAAUUUUGGGCAAUGGGCGAAAGCCUGACCCAGCAACGCCGCGUGAGGGAUGAAGUAUUUCGGUAUGUAAACCUCGAAAGAAUGGGAAGAAUAAAUGACGGUACCAUUUAUAAGCCCCGGCUAACUACGUGCCAGCAGCCGCGGUAAUACGUAGGGGGCAAGCGUUGUUCGGAUUUACUGGGCGUAAAGGGCGCGUAGGCGGCAAUUCAAGUCAGCUGUGAAAUCUCCGGGCUUAACUCGGAACGGUCAGCUGAUACUGCUUUGCUAGAGUGCAGAAGGGGCAACUGGAAUUCUUGGUGUAGCGGUGAAAUGCGUAGAUAUCAAGAGGAACACCUGAGGUGAAGACGGGUUGCUGGGCUGACACUGACGCUGAGGCGCGAAAGCCAGGGGAGCAAACGGGAUUAGAUACCCCGGUAGUCCUGGCUCUAAACGAUGGAUACUUGGUGUCUGGAGUUAUUAUCGCUCCGGGUGCCGUCGCUAACGUUUUUAGUAUCCCGCCUGGGGAGUACGCACGCAAGUGUGAAACUCAAAGGAAUUGACGG